CACUGGCUCUCGCAGUCUCGCUGCCCCCCCCCCCCCCCUCCGCCGCCGCCGGCAUCCUCGCCGUCGCUGGAGGCAUGGCGACACGGCGGCCUGAGAAUCCCCCACCGCCGGAUCCUGCGGAUCGACAUCCUCACAUCCCUCCUCCGCCGACGAGAAUUCAUAUGCAAGCACAUCAUAUCCCCUGGACUCUGAAGAAUCUGCAUGAAGCCAUGUUCAGACUGAGAGGUCCGAAGCAUAUAUUUUUGUUCCGGUGUGCUUAUGCAUGUGCCCUUCUAAAAACCAUAGAUGAAAAAAAAAUGUCUGGACUAACAAAAUAAAUAUGCAUUAGUGUAUAUAUCAGAGUCAGAGAUGACCAUUUUGGAUAAAAUAGUUAGGCACCGUUGCUAUAUUAGAGCCUUGAGAAUUUAUUCAACCAGCAACAAACAGAUGGUGAUGAUAAGUCACAUGGAUCAAACCUGCAGAGACCACAACAAUGAUCAAUCUGCAAGUAGACUACAACGACAGUAGUAAAAGCAGCACAUGUAUAUGAAUCUGGCCGGAAUUCAUGGCCGGUCAUUUCGACGUCGACGGAUCGGCCGGCCGGCCGGCGGUGCAUCACAUGGACGGUGGCCGGAGGUAACGACGGCAGUGCCUAAUCCCUUUUGCUUCCAUGUCUUAUUGUUUCAACACUCUGAGCUUACUGUCGCCUACUCACGUGAAGGCAUAUGUGAUGCAAAUUAUACUAUUAAACCUAUUGUUUUUCAGGCCAACUGAAUUGAGUAGUAGUAGGAGAUAUUUCCUGUGCUUGAACGGUGAUUGGUCCAUGCUUGAAACGAAUAAGUUCUUUUAUUUAAUUACUCUGCCCAAUUAGGGUCUAGUGCCAAUAGGAUAUAUAGCUAAUCAUAUCAGAGAUGUUUGUUAACUUGACUAUUCUGAUUCCAAUCUUGUUAAAAUAUGUGUGCAUCUGAAUGUGUGCUA